GUGGGGAAGGAUCUCUCUGGAGAUCUGCUUCAUCAGGAGUUAAUCUCAUGAGCCCAGGACAGGCUCUGAAUGGGAAUUGCUCAGUCAGGGCCUGAACCAAUGAAUGAGCACCAAGUGAGAAGGCAUGGCCAACCCAAGGAGCUCAGGUGCAAGCAAUACACAAGCAAGAGUGACCAAAAGGGAUGGAGCCUGGGCCCACCCCAUCUCACCCUCAUUGAAGUGUUAGCAGCCAAAAGAGCAACAUCUCUCUUCAGAGACUGAGCUUUUUUCAAGUUGUUACCAGUCUUCAGAAAGGCUUUCAGCAUGACCUCAGCUUGACUUACGGAUGCACGAGGAAAAGCUUGAUUAGAACCAUCUGGAUUCAGGGAUGUGCUAAUCAUAGAAUUAUUAUGAUUGGAAAAGACUACUAAGAUCUAGCUCAAUUGCUAAUUAAUCACCACUAUACCACUAAAUCAUGUCUUUCAGUGCAACAUCUACCCUUUUCUUGAAAACCUCCAGGAACAGCUCCA